UGGGACUAAGACAUGCUAGUCGUGCGCUUCUAAGCCAUGGUGGAGGCGCGGCGCACAGCUCAGUAACACGUGGUUAACCUGCCCUUGGGACGGAAACACCCCCGGGAAACUGGGGCUAAUUUCCGAUAGGUGAAGACUCCUGGAAUGGAUCUUCGCCUAAAGGGCGCUUAGGCCAUGCUUCUAGGCGCUGCCCAAGGAUGGGACCGCGGCCGAUCAGGUUGUUGGUGAGGUAAUGGCUCACCAAGCCUUUAACCGGUUCGGGCCGUGGGAGCGGGAGCCCGGAGAUGGGCACUGAGACAAGGGCCCAGGUCCUACGGGGCGCAGCAGUCGCGAAAACUCCGCAAUACGCGAAGGCGUGACGGGGCUAUCCCGAGUGCCGUCCGCUGAGGAUGGCUUUUCCCCAGUGUAGAUAGCUGGGGGAAUAAGGAGAGGGCAAGUCUGGUGUCAGCCGCCGCGGUAAUACCAGCUCUCCGAGUGGUGGGGACGUUUAUUGGGCCUGAAGCAUCCGUAGCCAGCUGAGCAAGUCCCCAGUUAAAUCCAGCGAUUUAAUCGUUGGACUACUGGGGAUACUGUCCGGCUUGGGGGUGGGAGAGGCCGAC
rnacentral:rRNA from 1 species